rnacentral:rRNA from 1 species
GUACACAAAAAUGCACAUAUUGUGAGCUCGAUGAGUAGGGCGGGACACGUGGUAUCCUGUCUGAAUAUGGGGGGACCAUCCUCCAAGGCUAAAUACUCCUGACUGACCGAUAGUGAACCAGUACCGUGAGGGAAAGGCGAAAAGAACCCCGGCGAGGGGAGUGAAAAAGAACCUGAAACCGUGUACGUACAAGCAGUGGGAGCCUCUUUAUGGGGUGACUGCGUACCUUUUGUAUAAUGGGUCAGCGACUUAUAUUCUGUAGCAAGGUUAACCGAAUAGGGGAGCCGAAGGGAAACCGAGUCUUAACUGGGCGUUAAGUUGCAGGGUAUAGACCCGAAACCCGGUGAUCUAGCCAUGGGCAGGUUGAAGGUUGGGUAACACUAACUGGAGGACCGAACCGACUAAUGUUGAAAAAUUAGCGGAUGACUUGUGGCUGGGGGUGAAAGGCCAAUCAAACCGGGAGAUAGCUGGUUCUCCCCGAAAGCUAUUUAGGUAGCGCCUCGUGAAUUCAUCUCCGGGGGUAGAGCACUGUUUCGGCAAGGGGGUCAUCCCGACUUACCAACCCGAUGCAAACUGCGAAUACCGGAGAAUGUUAUCACGGGAGACACACGGCGGGUGCUAACGUCCGUCGUGAAGAGGGAAACAACCCAGACCGCCAGCUAAGGUCCCAAAGUCAUGGUUAAGUGGGAAACGAUGUGGGAAGGCCCAGACAGCCAGGAUGUUGGCUUAGAAGCAGCCAUCAUUUAAAGAAAGCGUAAUAGCUCACUGGUCGAGUCGGCCUGCGCGGAAGAUGUAACGGGGCUAAACCAUGCACCGAAGCUGCGGCAGCGACACUAUGUGUUGUUGGGUAGGGGAGCGUUCUGUAAGCCUGUGAAGGUGGCCUGUGAGGGUUGCUGGAGGUAUCAGAAGUGCGAAUGCUGACAUAAGUAACGAUAAAGCGGGUGAAAAGCCCGCUCGCCGGAAGACCAAGGGUUCCUGUCCAACGUUAAUCGGGGCAGGGUGAGUCGACCCCUAAGGCGAGGCCGAAAGGCGUAGUCGAUGGGAAACAGGUUAAUAUUCCUGUACUUGGUGUUACUGCGAAGGGGGGACGGAGAAGGCUAUGUUGGCCGGGCGACGGUUGUCCCGGUUUAAGCGUGUAGGCUGGUUUUCCAGGCAAAUCCGGAAAACCAAGGCUGAGGCGUGAUGACGAGGCACUACGGUGCUGAAGCGACAAAUGCCCUGCUUCCAGGAAAAGCCUCUAAGCAUCAGGUAACAUCAAAUCGUACCCCAAACCGACACAGGUGGUCAGGUAGAGAAUACCAAGGCGCUUGAGAGAACUCGGGUGAAGGAACUAGGCAAAAUGGUGCCGUAACUUCGGGAGAAGGCACGCUGAUAUGUAGGUGAAGCGACUUGCUCGUGGAGCUGAAAUCAGUCGAAGAUACCAGCUGGCUGCAACUGUUUAUUAAAAACACAGCACUGUGCAAACACGAAAGUGGACGUAUACGGUGUGACGCCUGCCCGGUGCCGGAAGGUUAAUUGAUGGGGUUAGCGGUAACGCGAAGCUCUUGAUCGAAGCCCCGGUAAACGGCGGCCGUAACUAUAACGGUCCUAAGGUAGCGAAAUUCCUUGUCGGGUAAGUUCCGACCUGCACGAAUGGCGUAAUGAUGGCCAGGCUGUCUCCACCCGAGACUCAGUGAAAUUGAACUCGCUGUGAAGAUGCAGUGUACCCGCGGCAAGACGGAAAGACCCCGUGAACCUUUACUAUAGCUUGACACUGAACAUUGAGCCUUGAUGUGUAGGAUAGGUGGGAGGCUUUGAAGUGUGGACGCCAGUCUGCAUGGAGCCGACCUUGAAAUACCACCCUUUAAUGUUUGAUGUUCUAACGUUGGCCCGUAAUCCGGGUUGCGGACAGUGUCUGGUGGGUAGUUUGACUGGGGCGGUCUCCUCCUAAAGAGUAACGGAGGAGCACGAAGGUUGGCUAAUCCUGGUCGGACAUCAGGAGGUUAGUGCAAUGGCAUAAGCCAGCUUGACUGCGAGCGUGACGGCGCGAGCAGGUGCGAAAGCAGGUCAUAGUGAUCCGGUGGUUCUGAAUGGAAGGGCCAUCGCUCAACGGAUAAAAGGUACUCCGGGGAUAACAGGCUGAUACCGCCCAAGAGUUCAUAUCGACGGCGGUGUUUGGCACCUCGAUGUCGGCUCAUCACAUCCUGGGGCUGAAGUAGGUCCCAAGGGUAUGGCUGUUCGCCAUUUAAAGUGGUACGCGAGCUGGGUUUAGAACGUCGUGAGACAGUUCGGUCCCUAUCUGCCGUGG